rnacentral:rRNA from 1 species
CCUACGGGUGGCAGCAGUGGGGGAUAUUGCACAAUGGGGGGAACCCUGAUGCAGCGACGCCGCGUGGGUGAAGAAGGGCCUCGGCGCGUAAAGCCCUGUCAACAGGGAAGAAAAUGACGGUACGUGAAGAAGAAGCCGCGGCGAACUACGUGCCAGCAGCCGCGGGAAUACGUAGGGGGCAAGCGUUAUCCGGAUUUACUGGGUGUAAAGGGGGCGCAGACGGGGCUGCAAGCCAGGAGUGAAAGCCCGGGGCCCACCCCCGGGACUGCUCUUGGAACUGCGUGGCUGGAGUGCAGGAGGGGCAGGCGGAAUUCCUGGUGUAGCGGUGAAAUGCUUAGAUAUCAGGCGGAACCCCGGUGGCGAAGGCGGCCUGCUGGACUGCACCUGACGUUGAGGCCCGAACGCGUGGGGAUCAAACAGGAUUAGAUACCCGGGUAGUC